UUAAUACUUAAAAUGCAAGCAUCAUAUAUACCUUAAUUUUGCUAUCAAAGGAAACGAUAAUACACUUAAGAUGCAGCCUUUCCUUGCUGCAUUUCUUUUGCCUUCGCGAUAUAUCAUCUUCCCACCACAAUUUGAUUACAUUAUUUUUUAGUAGUGUAGGCAUGAAUAGGGAAAUUUUUAGAUUUCAAUUGGUGAUUAGAAUGAGCAAUCAAGGGGCGUAGCCACCACCGUGUCCACCACCUUCACCACCUCCAGCACCUCCUCCAUAUCCACCAGCAUGCUCACCUCCUCCAGCGUAGGCUCCACCUCCACCGGCACCACUACCGCCGCCACCGCCUCCAUAUGCUCCUCCAUGUGCUCCUCCUGCACCACCACCAGCUCCUCCUCCACUACCGUAUCCACCACCUGCUGCUCCCCCUGCUCCUCCAGCAUAAGCACCACCGCCACCACCUCCAUGCCCACCUCCACCACCAUAUCCACCACCUGGUGCCCCACCAGCUCCGUAGCCGCCGCCACUUCCUCCUCCUGCGCCUUCAGCAUAUCCACCACCAUGUGCUCCACCUGCAGAUGCUCCGCCGCCACCACUACCUCCACCACCUCCAGCACCAUAACCACCACCCGGUGCUCCUCCAGCACCAUAUCCGCUACCACCACCUUCGCCACCACCACUUGCAUGUCCAGCAUCGUGUCCUCCACCAGCAUAGCCACCUCCUGCCCCGCUUCCACCACCACCUCCUCCAGCAUAUCCAGCACCAUGCUCUCCUCCAGCUGCAUAGCCAGAACCACCACCGGCUCCACCUCCACUGCCACCUCCGCUGGCAUAACCAUGGUCACCUGCAGCUCCAUAUCCACCACCUCCACCGGAACCUCCUCCACCACCACCAGCAUAGCCUCCACCAGCAACACCACCACCAGCGCCACCACCAAUGCCAUGGCCUGCACCAUAGGCGCCUACCUCAGCCCCAACACCUACAUGAUCAUAAGUGAGGAGGGUUCUAGCAGCUGAACAUAUUCCUAUGCCCAAUAACAGAAAGAAAACAAUGUUAGUAACUUUAAGCUUCGCCAUUGCAGUGUAGUUGAAUGCCACAAAAUCGACUUGGGAUAGAAUGCAAGAAUCGGAGGCUAUUUAUAGAUGUAGAAACGCGUCUAUAUGCACAAAUCACAUGCAAAAGAACAAAAGGCAACUCCUUUUGUCCCUACAAUUUAAGUGGUCCACUUCACUAACAUCCUCACAGAUUUGACAUCAUUUCAUUUUAAUUCAAUCUCUACUCCAAGUAGACCAGCUAGUGUGCUUGUGCUGUCUCCCAUAUUCGUUAAGUAUACAGUAUAAAUAUUUCUUAAUACCAUACUUUUCUUAAUUCUUUAUUUUUGAUAUAUCUUGUAGUUGGAAGUCCGACUCAGUUUCAUGAUACUAAUUAUAUAUUUUAGUUCCACUUAAUCGAUACGGUUCUUUAUGUUUAAUAUACUUUAUUUAGUGUCACGUUCUCUAAUUUUGAAUUGGAAAAAUGUGAUGCGUCAUUGAAUUACCGGGGCUUGCUAAUUGUUGAGCUUUUAUGAAUUUAACUUAUAUGCAUUUGCGGUAAAUGUAUAUUUCCUAAUAUUUACGCUAAAUCAAUUGAUGUAGAUACAUUAUUUGUUCAAUCAUUCGAUACUCGAAGCUGACUGAUCCUACUAAUUCAGAUUUGCGACGGCAGACCCACUAUGGGGUGCUUGAACUUGAGACCUUUGGUAAUGCAAUAACGGUUCUCUUCGUUGGGAUGUGAGCAAGUUAGGUAGCUCCAAGGGUGAAACCCACCACAACCUCUGAUGGUAAUAGAUACAUAAUAUGUGUUUGCGAAUAAAUGUUGCAAGUUACCUACCUUAUUUUUCAGGUUGCUAUUUUCCACUUAAUGUGAAUAGUCACCUAUAAUUAUUUUUCAGGUCAUUGUUAGCGUAAAAUUUAAAAUAGUUUAUCUAAUCAGACUACUUUAAAAGAAAUUUCUUAAUUAAAAGAGCGGGGACUUUUUACAAUUCUUUAACCCCCUCCCUUUAUGUUUUGCAAGAUGCUUGCAGGUGUAUUAUUCAUAUAUAACUUUGGUUAAUUUAUUGUCCAUCUCCAGUGAAAGCUAGUACAUAUUUUAUUAAAGUCAUGAAUGAGCAAUAAUUAAGAGGGCGAACCAAUGUGCCCAUAUACGAGAUCAGGCAAUAAUCAAGUAGAUUAGCUUGACUCGGUUUAAUUUGGAGAACAGCGAUAUAAGUUGCUACUUAUCCAACUGAUAAGAUCCUAUAAUAGGGAUAUCCUGAUAAUCAAACAGGAUAGAGGAAUCUUGAAGGCAGGAAGCCAGGAACCAUGUUUAGCUAAACCAUCCGUCACUUGAUUUGCUUAUCUAAAUCGAUCAGUGAUUUACCUCAAAAUUUUGCUUGGAGAUUAAAAUCUAUGCGGCCGGUGUCCUCUAUAAAUGCUUUGAGUUUGCAAUUAACUGCUGUGUAAUUAAGCAAAUUUGGCACUAUGAGGGAGUCCAAUUGUUCAAUUUCUCUGUUGUUUGUAUUUUAUAUAUACAUGCGACACAUUUCUUGUUCUCAUCCAUUAACUGAAACUUUCACAUAGUUCAUUUGUAGUACAAAUACAAAUUAACUGUUGAUACAAGCUACUAAGAUAUUUUAUUUUGCCUUCCACUCGGGCAUUACUUUGUUUCUCUUAUCACAUGACUGUCUCAUCUCCAAUUGCAACCACCUGAUGUAGAUGAGUUCUUUAUUUCUUUUUCUUUUUUCAUAUAUCAGUUCUGCCCUAAAUAAGCUAUACCCCAUAAAUUAAUUUUCCAAUCUUGCAGUAGCUGCCGAAUUUUUAAAGUUUUCAGAUUUUUUGUGAUAAGUGAGCCAUCGUAUUAUAUGAGUAUAUUGACAGUACAAGGUCUGUCCAUUUUUGGUUUCUUAACACUGAGGGCAGCAAAGAUUUCCCUUGUUCAAUCGUACGUUCUAUUUAAUAUCUUUUCUUGUCAAUCUAGCUAGUUCUUUUAUUUCCUUGUAUGUAUUAUGAUCAAUUCCCUUGUGAUCGUCCUUGCAAAGGUUUACGAAUGUGCCCAAACCAAUAUUGCCUAUUAUUGCAUGCAUGCAACAUAUAGAGUACAGAAAUUUGCUGACCACUUUAAUUAAUACUUAAAAUGCAAGCAUCAUACCUUAAUUUGCUAUUAAAGAAAACGAUAAUACACUUAAGGUGCAGCAUUUCUUUGCUGCAAUUCUUUUGCCUUCACGAUAUAUCAUCUUCCCACCACAGUUUGAUUGCAUUAUUUUUUAGUAGUGUAGGCAAGAAUAGGGAAAUUUUUAGAUUUCAAAUGGUGAUUAGAAUGAGCAAUCAAGGGGCGUAGCCACCACCGUG
rnacentral:lncRNA from 1 species